rnacentral:rRNA from 1 species
GAUGAACGCUGGCGGCGUGCUUAACACAUGCAAGUCGAACGGGAUCCAAGGGGUGCUUGCACUUUUUGGUGAGAGUGGCGAACGGGUGAGUAACACGUGAGUAACCUGUCCUUUUCUUUGGGAUAAGCAUUCGAAAGGGUGUUUAAUACCUUAUGUUCUGUCUGCCUCGCAUGGGGUGGGUGGGAAAGGCUUUGGCCGGAUUUGGGUGGGCUCGCGGUCUAUCAGCUUGUUGGUGGGGUGAUGGCUUACCAAGGCUUUGACGGGUAGCCGGCCUGAGAGGGUGGUCGGUCACAUGGGGACUGAGAUACGGCCCAGACGCCUGCGGGAGGCAGCAGUGGGGGAUAUUGCACAAUGGGCGAAAGCCUGAUGCAGCGACGCCGCGUGGGGGAUGAAGGCCUUCGGGUUGUAAACUUCUUUUGCUCUGAACAAGGCAUGCCAGUGGGUGUGUUGAGUGUAGGGGUUGAUUAGCGCCGGCUAACUACGUG